AACGCACAUUGCGCCCGCCAGUAUUCUGGCGGGCAUGCCUGUUCGAGCGUCAUUUCAACCCUCAAGCCCCUGCUGUGGACUUGGUGUUGGGGACCGGCGAUGGACAACCGUCCUGUCGCCGCCCCCUAAAUGAAUUGGCGGCCUCGUCGCGGCCCUCCUCUGCGUAGUAGCACACACCUCGCAACAGGAGCCCGGCGAAUGGCCACUGCCGUAAAACCCCCAACUUUUUUUCAGAGUUGACCUCGAAUCAGGUAGGAAUACCCGCUGAACUUAA
rnacentral:misc_RNA from 1 species